GAUGAACGCUGGCGGCGUGCCUAAUACAUGCAAGUCGAACGAAACUUCUUUAUCACCGAGUGCUUGCACUCACCGAUAAAGGGUUGAGUGGCGAACGGGUGAGUAACACGUGGGCAACCUGCCCAAAAGAGGGGGAUAACACUUGGAAACAGGUGCUAAUACCGCAUAACCAUAGUUACCGCAUGGUAACUAUGUAAAAGGUGGCUAUACUACCGCUUUUGGAUGGGCCCGUGGCGCAUUAGCUAGUUGGUAGGGUAAAGGCUUACCAAGGCAAUGAUGCGUAGCCGAAUUGAGAGGUUGAUCGGCCACAUUGGGACUGAGACACGGCCCAAACUCCUACGGGAGGCAGCAGUAGGGAAUCUUCCACAAUGGGCGAAAGCCUGAUGGAGCAACGCCGCGUGGGUGAAGAAGGUCUUCGGAUCGUAAAACCCUGUUGUUAGAGAAGAAAGUGCGUGAGAGUAACUGUUCACGUUUCGACGGUAUCUAACCAGAAAGCCACGGCUAACUACGUG
rnacentral:rRNA from 1 species